rnacentral:rRNA from 1 species
CCUACGGGUGGCAGCAGUGAGGAAUAUUGGUCAAUGGGCGCGAGCCUGAACCAGCCAAGUAGCGUGAAGGAUGACUGCCCUACGGGUUGUAAACUUCUUUUAUAAAGGAAUAAAGUGAGGCACGUGUGCCUUUUUGUAUGUACUUUAUGAAUAAGGAUCGGCUAACUCCGUGCCAGCAGCCGCGGUAAUACGGAGGAUCCGAGCGUUAUCCGGAUUUAUUGGGUUUAAAGGGAGCGUAGAUGGGUUGUUAAGUUAGUUGUGAAAGUUUGCGGCUCAACCGCGGAAGUGCAAUUGAUACUGGCAGGCUUGAGUACAGUUGAGGUAGGCGGAAUGCGUGGUGUAGCGGUGAAAUGCUUAGAUAUCACGAAGAACUCCGAUUGCGAAGGCAGCUUACUAACCUGCCACUGACGUUGAGGCACGAAAGUGUGGGUAUCAAACAGGAUUAGAUACCCCGGUAGUC